GUGCUUGCUUGGGCAGCACUUAGACUAACAUUGGAAUGAAAAAGAGAUUGGCACGACCCCAGUGCAAGGGUGACACACACAUCUGUGAAGCAACCCAUAUUAUA
ensembl:snRNA U6 U6 spliceosomal RNA